UGGGGAAUAUUGCACAAUGGGCGCAAGCCUGAUGCAGCCAUGCCGCGUGUGUGAAGAAGGCCUUCGGUUGUAAAGCACUUUCAGCGAGGAGGAAGGUGGUGAACUUAAUACGUUCAUCAAUUGACGUUACUCGCAGAAGAAGCACCGGCUAACUCCGUGCCAGCAGCCGCGGUAAUACGGAGGGUGCAAGCGUUAAUCGGAAUUACUGGGCGUAAAAGCGCACGCAGGCGGUUUGUUAAGUCAGAUGUGAAAUCCCCGGGCUCAACCUGGGAACUGCAUUUGAAACUGGCAAGCUAGAGUCUCGUAGAGGGGGGUAGAAUUCCAGGUGUAGCGGUGAAAUGCGUAGAGAUCUGGAGGAAUACCGGUGGCGAAAGGCGGCCCCCUGGACGAAGACUGACGCUCAGGUGCGAAAAGCGUGGGGAGCAAAACAGGAUUAGAUACCCUGGUAGUCCACGCUGUAAAACGAUGUCGAUUUUGGAGGUUGUGCCCUUGAGGCGUGGCUUCCGGAGCUAACGCGUUAAAUCGACCGCCUGGGGAGUACGGCCGCAAGGUUAAAAACUCAAAAUGAAUUGACGGGGUCAUAGCU
rnacentral:rRNA from 1 species